UACGGGGGGGGUAAGCGUUGUUCGGAAUUACUGGGCGUAAAGGGCUCGUAGGCGGCCAACUAAGUCAGACGUGAAAUCCCUCAGCUUAACUGGGGAACUGCGUCUGAUACUGGAUGGCUUGGAUUCGGGAGAGGAAUGCGGAAUUCCAGGUGUAGCGGUGAAAUGCGUAGAUAUCGAGAGGAACACCUGCGGCGAAGGCGGGUUGCUGGGCUGACACUGACGCUGACAGCGCGAAAGCUAGGGGAGCGAACGGG
rnacentral:rRNA from 1 species